rnacentral:rRNA from 1 species
GAUAAGGAGCUUGCUCCUUUGACGUUAGCGGCGGACGGGUGAGUAACACGUGGGUAACCUACCUAUAAGACUGGAAUAACUCCGGGAAACCGGGGCUAAUGCCGGAUAACAUUUAGAACCGCAUGGUUCUAAAGUGAAAGAUGGUUUUGCUAUCACUUAUAGAUGGACCCGCGCCGUAUUAGCUAGUUGGUAAGGUAAUGGCUUACCAAGGCAACGAUACGUAGCCGACCUGAGAGGGUGAUCGGCCACACUGGAACUGAGACACGGUCCAGACUCCUACGGGAGGCAGCAGUAGGGAAUCUUCCGCAAUGGGCGAAAGCCUGACGGAGCAACGCCGCGUGAGUGAUGAAGGGUUUCGGCUCGUAAAACUCUGUUAUUAGGGAAAAAC